rnacentral:rRNA from 1 species
AUGGCGGGCAUGGUGUUCGGCUUGGAGAACCCGAUGAUGACGGCGCUGCAGCACCUGCUGGACAUCCCAGACGGCGAGUCCGGCCUCGCCGCCGGCGAGAAGCAGGGCCCGACGCGUGCCUACGUCCGGGACGCGCGCGCCAUGGUGGCCACCCCCACCGACGUGAAGGAGCUGCCGGGCGCGUACGCGUUCGUGGUGGACAUGCCGGGGCUGGGUUCCAGCGACAUCCAGGUGCAGGUGGAGGACGAGCGGGUGCUGGUGAUCAGCGGCGAGCGGAGGAGGGAGGAGAAGGAGGACGCCAAGUACCUGCGGAUGGAGCGCCGCAUGGGCAAGCUGAUGCGCAAGUUCGUGCUGCCCGAGAACGCCGACAUGGAGAAGAUCUCCGCCGUGUGCCGCGAUGGCGUGCUGACCGUCACCGUCGAGAAGCUGCCGCCGCCCGAGCCCAAGAAGCCCAAGACCAUCCAGGUCCAGUCCAGGCAGUGGCGUCGCCUGAGCUGA